rnacentral:rRNA from 1 species
CCCUUAGAUGUCCUGGGCCGCACGCGCGCUACACUGACAUGUUCAACAAGCCUCCUAGUUCGACAGGAUUUGGGAAAUCUUUGAACGCAUGUCGUGAUAGGGAUAGAUCAUUGCAAUUAUUGAUCUUGAACGAGGAAUUCCUAGUAAACGCGAGUCAUCAGCUCGCAUUGAUUACGUCCCUGCCCUUUGUACACACCGCCCGUCGCACCUACCGAUUGAAUGUUUCGGUGAAGAUUCCGGAUAGGACUUUUUUGAUUUAUUUCAAUUCUGCCUUAAAAGCUAUCUAAACCUCAACAUUUAGAGGAAGGUGAAGUCGUAACA